GGUUUUAGAGUUUGGAUCUGGCUCAGGAUGAACGCUGGCGGCGUGCCUAAUACAUGCAAGUCGAGCGAACGGACGAGAAGCUUGCUUCUCUGAUGUUAGCGGCGGACGGGUGAGUAACACGUGGAUAACCUACCUAUAAGACUGGGAUAACUUCGGGAAACCGGAGCUAAUACCGGAUAAUAUUUUGAACCGCAUGGUUCAAAAGUGAAAGACGGUCUUGCUGUCACUUAUAGAUGGAUCCGCGCUGCAUUAGCUAGUUGGUAAGGUAACGGCUUACCAAGGCAACGAUGCAUAGCCGACCUGAGAGGGUGAUCGGCCACACUGGAACUGAGACACGGUCCAGACUCCUACGGGAGGCAGCAGUAGGGAAUCUUCCGCAAUGGGCGAAAGCCUGACGGAGCAACGCCGCGUGAGUGAUGAAGGUCUUCGGAUCGUAAAACUCUGUUAUUAGGGAAGAACAUAUGUGUAAGUAACUGUGCACAUCUUGACGGUACCUAAUCAGAAAGCCACGGCUAACUACGUGCCAGCAGCCGCGGUAAUACGUAGGUGGCAAGCGUUAUCCGGAAUUAUUGGGCGUAAAGCGCGCGUAGGCGGUUUUUUAAGUCUGAUGUGAAAGCCCACGGCUCAACCGUGGAGGGUCAUUGGAAACUGGAAAACUUGAGUGCAGAAGAGGAAAGUGGAAUUCCAUGUGUAGCGGUGAAAUGCGCAGAGAUAUGGAGGAACACCAGUGGCGAAGGCGACUUUCUGGUCUGUAACUGACGCUGAUGCGAAAGAUCAA
rnacentral:rRNA from 1 species